rnacentral:rRNA from 1 species
GGAGUUUGAUCCUGGCUCAGGAUGAACGCUAGCGGCAGGCCUAACACAUGCAAGUCGAGGGGUAACAGGAGAGCUUGCUCUCGCUGACGACCGGCGCACGGGUGAGUAACGCGUAUGCAACCUACCUUUAACAGGGGGAUAGCCCGAAGAAAUUCGGAUUAAUACCCCAUACAACUAUAGAUAGGCAUUUAUUUAUAUUUAAAACUCCGGUGGUUAAAGAUGGGCAUGCGUGACAUUAGAUAGUUGGUGAGGUAACGGCUCACCAAGUCUACGAUGUCUAGGGGGUCUGAGAGGAUGGUCCCCCACACUGGUACUGAGACACGGACCAGACUCCUACGGGAGGCAGCAGUGAGGAAUAUUGCGCAAUGGAGGAAACUCUGACGCAGCCAUGCCGCGUGCAGGAUGACAGCCCUACGGGUUGUAAACUGCUUUUAUACAGGAAGAAUUUUCCGCACGUGUGCGGGAUUGACGGUACUGUACGAAUAAGCAUCGGCUAACUCCGUGCCAGCAGCCGCGGUAAUACGGAGGAUGCAAGCGUUAUCCGGAUUUAUUGGGUUUAAAGGGUGCGUAGGCGGGGUAAUAAGUCAGUGGUGAAAUCCUGCAGCUUAACUGUAGAAUUGCCAUUGAUACUGUUAUUCUUGAGUUCGAUUGAGGUAGGCGGAAUGUGUAAUGUAGCGGUGAAAUGCUUAGAUAUUACACAGAACACCGAUUGCGUAGGCAGCUUACUAAGUCGACACUGACGCUGAGGCACGAAAGCGUGGGGAGCGAACAGGAUUAGAUACCCUGGUAGUCCACGCUGUAAACUAUGAUCACUAGCUGUUGGCGAUACAUCGAUCAGCGGCAAAGCGAAAGCAUUAAGUGAUCCACCUGGGGAGUACGGUCGCAAGAUUGAAACUCAAAGGAAUUGACGGGGGCCCGCACAAGCGGUGGAACAUGUGGUUUAAUUCGAUGAUACGCGAGGAACCUUACCUGGGCUUAAAUGCAGAUUGACGUUUCGGGAAACCGAAAUUCUCUUCGGAGCGAUUUGCAAGGUGCUGCAUGGUUGUCGUCAGCUCGUGCCGUGAGGUGUCGGGUUAAGUCCCAUAACGAGCGCAACCCCUAUCGUUAGUUGCCAGCGGAUCAUGCCGGGGACUCUAACGAAACUGCCGGUGUAACCGAGAGGAAGGUGGGGAUGACGUCAAAUCAGCACGGCCCUUAUGUCCAGGGCUACACACGUGUUACAAUGGUCGGUACAGAGGGCAGCUACCUGGUGACAGGAUGCUAAUCUCGAAAGCCGGUCUUAGUUCGGAUCGAAGUCUGCAACUCGACUUCGUGAAGCUGGAAUCGCUAGUAAUCGCGUAUCCGCAACGACGCGGUGAAUACGUUCCCGGGCCUUGUACACACC